GGCGGCGUGCCUAAUACAUGCAAGUCGAGCGAACAGAUAAGGAGCUUGCUCCUUUGACGUUAGCGGCGGACGGGUGAGUAACACGUGGGUAACCUACCUAUAAGACUGGGAUAACUUCGGGAAACCGGAGCUAAUACCGGAUAACAUUUGGAACCGCAUGGUUCUAAAGUGAAAGAUGGUUUUGCUAUCACUUAUAGAUGGACCCGCGCCGUAUUAGCUAGUUGGUAAGGUAACGGCUUACCAAGGCGACGAUACGUAGCCGACCUGAGAGGGUGAUCGGCCACACUGGAACUGAGACACGGUCCAGACUCCUACGGGAGGCAGCAGUAGGGAAUCUUCCGCAAUGGGCGAAAGCCUGACGGAGCAACGCCGCGUGAGUGAUGAAGGGUUUCGGCUCGUAAAACUCUGUUAUUAGGGAAGAACAAACGUGUAAGUAACUGUGCACGUCUUGACGGUACCUAAUCAGAAAGCCACGGCUAACUACGUGCCAGCAGCCGCGGUAAUACGUAGGUGGCAAGCGUUAUCCGGAAUUAUUGGGCGUAAAGCGCGCGUAGGCGGUUUCUUAAGUCUGAUGUGAAAGCCCACGGCUCAACCGUGGAGGGUCAUUGGAAACUGGGAAACUUGAGUGCAGAAGAGGAAAGUGGAAUUCCAUGUGUAGCGGUGAAAUGCGCAGAGAUAUGGAGGAACACCAGUGGCGAAGGCGACUUUCUGGUCUGUAACUGACGCUGAUGUGCGAAAGCGUGGGGAUCAAACAGGAUUAGAUACCCUGGUAGUCCACGCCGUAAACGAUGAGUGCUAAGUGUUAGGGGGUUUCCGCCCCUUAGUGCUGCAGCUAACGCAUUAAGCACUCCGCCUGGGGAGUACGACCGCAAGGUUGAAACUCAAAGGAAUUGACGGGGACCCGCACCCGCGGUGGAGCAUGUGGUUUAAUUCGAAGCAACGCGAAGAACCUUACCAAAUCUUGACAUCCUUUGAAAACUCUAGAGAUAGAGCCUUCCCCUUCGGGGGACAAAGUGACAGGUGGUGCAUGGUUGUCGUCAGCUCGUGUCGUGAGAUGUUGGGUUAAGUCCCGCAACGAGCGCAACCCUUAAGCUUAGUUGCCAUCAUUAAGUUGGGCACUCUAGGUUGACUGCCGGUGACAAACCGGAGGAAGGUGGGGAUGACGUCAAAUCAUCAUGCCCCUUAUGAUUUGGGCUACACACGUGCUACAAUGGACAAUACAAAGGGCAGCUAAACCGCGAGGUCAUGCAAAUCCCAUAAAGUUGUUCUCAGUUCGGAUUGUAUUCUGCAACUCGACUACAUGAAGCUGGAAUCGCUAGUAAUCGUAGAUCAGCAUGCUACGGUGAAUACGUUCCCGGGUCUUGUACACACCGCCCGUCACACCACGAGAGUUUGUAACACCCGAAGCCGGUGGAGUAACCAUUUAUGGAG
rnacentral:rRNA from 1 species